CUUUUUGCUGGCGACCGGCGCACGGGUGAGUAACACGUAUCCAACCUGCCCUUUACUCGGGGAUAGCCUUUCGAAAGAAAGAUUAAUACCCGAUAGCAUAAUGAUUCCGCAUGGUUUCAUUAUUAAAGGAUUCCGGUAAAGGAUGGGGAUGCGUUCCAUUAGGUUGUUGGUGAGGUAACGGCUCACCAAGCCUUCGAUGGAUAGGGGUUCUGAGAGGAAGGUCCCCCACAUUGGAACUGAGACACGGUCCAA
rnacentral:rRNA from 1 species